GAUCCUGGCUCAGGACGAACGCUGGCGGCGUGCCUAAUACAUGCAAGUAGAACGCUGAAGAGAGGAGCUUGCUCUUCUUGGAUGAGUUGCGAACGGGUGAGUAACGCGUAGGUAACCUGCCUUGUAGCGGGGGAUAACUAUUGGAAACGAUAGCUAAUACCGCAUAACAAUAGAUGACACAUGUCAUUUAUUUGAAAGGGGCAAUUGCUCCACUACAAGAUGGACCUGCGUUGUA
rnacentral:rRNA from 1 species